rnacentral:rRNA from 1 species
GAUGAACGCUGGCGGCGUGCCUAAUACAUGCAAGUCGAGCGAAUGAUGAGGAGCUUGCUCCUCUGAUUUAGCGGCGGACGGGUGAGUAACACGUGGGUAAUCUGCCUGUAAGACGGGGAUAACUCCGGGAAACCGGGGCUAAUACCGGAUAAUAAAAAGAAACGCAUGUUUCUUUUUUGAAAGUCGGUUUCGGCUGACACCUACAGAUGAGCCCGCGGCGCGUUAGCUAGUUGGUGAGGUAACGGCUCACCAAGGCGACGAUGCGUAGCCGACCUAAGAGGGUGACCGGCCACACUGGGACGGAGACACGGCCCAGACUCCUACGGGAGGCAGCAGUAGGUAAGCUUCGGCAAUGGGCGAAAGCCUGACCGAGCAACGCCGCGUGAGCGAUGAAGGCCUUCGGGUCGUAAAGCUCUGUUGUUAGAGAAGAACAAGUACGAGAGUAACUGCUCGUACCUUGACGGUACCUAACCAGAAAGCCACGGCUAACUACGUGCCAGCAGCCGCGGUAACAC